AUGCUCCCUGAAUGCUCACCAUCCUCUCCGGCUGCAGAAUUGGAUCCUGUCACUCAGUCCAUCACACAGUAGGACAGAGGUGAACUAUUACACUUGCCUUCCAGGACCAAGAACUCAGGAGGCGCUGCAGAGAAAUGGGACAGUUUAGCAGUUUGACAAGGACGUCAGUGCCAGGAACAAAUCAGCAUGGACCAUACCUUUACCUAGGGUUUCUCAAGGCUGGGACACAACUCAGAGGCAUCUCCUGCCCUUUAAUCCCUUACUCCCUAGAGAGUCUCACUUACUCCUCCUCAGUCAUUUCAGCGCCAACCCAGAUUGUCUACAACUGGUCUGCAGAGGGAAGACAGAUCAAUACACCCACCACUCGCAUGGAGAACCCAGAGAAAUUAGGGCUACCACUGAGACUGCUGGAGAGGAUUAGUCUCCUGGAAGGUCUAGUGCAUGUGUAAGCAUUUGUGAGACCAAGCUCGUCGGGAAGGAGAGCUCUCAUCCCUGGGAACUGCAUGUGCAAUGCCUAGAGGCAAGAGAAUGGCGAAAUGAAGGAACUGAAGGAAGUUCCUGUUUGGCACAGAGCACAGAGAACUAAAACGGGGACACGGUUGGAGAAGAGAAUAGAAACCAAAUUGUGAACAAGCCACAUGAAGGAGCUUCAAGUUUCUCCUUGGGCCGUGGGAAGUCACUUGUUGUAAGAAGAGAGAUAGAAUCAAAUGUUCACUGGAAGUUCUCUGGCUUGCAUACAGAAAGUAGAUUGGGAAAGAGCCAGGGUGGAAAGACAGAGACAGAGACAGAGACAGAGACAGAGACAGAGUGUAUGUGUGUAUAUAUAUAUAUAUAUAUAUAUAUAUAUAUAUAUAUAUAUAUAUAUAUAUAUACUCAAAACAGAG
rnacentral:lncRNA from 1 species